rnacentral:rRNA from 1 species
GACGAACGCUGGCGGCGUGCCUAAUACAUGCAAGUCGAACGCAUUUUCUUUCACCGUAGCUUGCUACACCGAAAGAAAAUGAGUGGCGAACGGGUGAGUAACACGUGGGUAACCUGCCCAUCAGCGGGGGAUAACACUUGGAAACAGGUGCUAAUACCGCAUAAUUCCAUUUACCGCAUGGUAGAUGGGUGAAAGGCGCUUUUGCGUCACUGAUGGAUGGACCCGCGGUGCAUUAGCUAGUUGGUGGGGUAACGGCCUACCAAGGCUGCGAUGCAUAGCCGACCUGAGAGGGUGAUCGGCCACACUGGGACUGAGACACGGCCCAGACUCCUACGGGAGGCAGCAGUAGGGAAUCUUCGGCAAUGGACGCAAGUCUGACCGAGCAACGCCGCGUGAGUGAAGAAGGUUUUCGGAUCGUAAAACUCUGUUGUUAGAGAAGAACAAGGAUGAGAGUGGAAAGUUCAUCCCAUGACGGUAUCUAACCAGAAAGCCACGGCUAACUACGUG